rnacentral:rRNA from 1 species
UGUAGUCAUAUGCUUGUCUCAAAGCUUAAGCCAUGCAUGUCUAAGUAUAAACAACUUUGUACUGUGAAACCGCGAAUGGCUCAUUAAAUCAGUUAUAGUUUAUUUGAUAGUACCUUACUACUUGGAUAACCGUAGUAAUUCUAGAGCUAAUACAUGCGAAAAGACCCGACUCACGAAGGGUUGUAUUUAUUAGAUACAAAACCAAUGCGGGGCAACCCGGUUGACGGUGAUUCAUAAUAACUUUGCGAAUCGCAUGGCCUCGUGCCGGCGAUGAAUCAUUCAAAUUUCUGCCCUAUCAACUUUCGAUGGUAAGGUAUUGGCCUACCAUGGUCGCAACGGGUAACGGGGA